AGCGACGCUAGCGAAGAAGAAAAAAAUACGGUUAUCCGUAGAAGUUAAAGUAAAGAAGGGACAAAAAAAAGUUUAAAAAAAUACGUGUGGUUGAGAAAAUGAAGGGGAGAUUAAAAGAUUCGCAAUUUGAAGGAACAAUAGGGAAGAGAAAGCACCGAACUGGCCGAGAGAGACCGAGAGAGAGAAGAGUGCUUGGUGUUAGUUUGGGCUAGUAAAUGAGUUGUUUUACAUCGCUUACACAGAGUUCAUGGAAAGAUCGUCGUUUUUUGUGGGGCAGAGGAAC